CGUAGGGUGCAAGCGUUAUCCGGAAUCACUGGGCGUAAAGCGUGCGUAGGCGGAAGCUUAAGUGUGAUGUUAAAUCGUGUGGCUCAACCAUAUCGAUGCAUCGCAUACUGGGUUUCUAGAGGACGGCAGAGGCAAGUGGAACUCGUAGUGUAGCAGUGAAAUGCGUAGAUAUUACGAAGAACACCAAUGGCGAAGGCAGCUUGCUGGGCCGCCCCUGACGCUGAGGCACGAAAGCGUGGGGAGCGAACAGGAUUAGAUACCCUGGUAGUCCACGCCGUAAACGAUGCAUACUAGUCGUAUGGGGUAUCGACCCCCUGUGCGACGCAGCUAACGCGAUAAGUAUGCCGCCUGGGAAGUACGGCCGCAAGGCUA
rnacentral:rRNA from 1 species